UUUGUUUUCUUGCUAGAACAC
rnacentral:piRNA from 1 species